AGUGAACGCUGGCGGUAGGCCUAACACAUGCAAGUCGAACGGCAGCACAGUAAGAGCUUGCUCUUACGGGUGGCGAGUGGCGGACGGGUGAGGAAUACAUCGGAAUCUACUUUUUCGUGGGGGAUAACGUAGGGAAACUUACGCUAAUACCGCAUACGACCUACGGGUGAAAGCAGGGGAUCUUCGGACCUUGCGCGAUUGAAUGAGCCGAUGUCGGAUUAGCUAGUUGGCGGGGUAAAGGCCCACCAAGGCGACGAUCCGUAGCUGGUCUGAGAGGAUGAUCAGCCACACUGGAACUGAGACACGGUCCAGACUCCUACGGGAGGAAGCAGUGGGGACUAUUGGACAAUGGGGGCAAGCCUGAUACAGCAAUACCGCGUGGGUGAAGAAGGCCUUCGGGUUGUAAAGCCAUUUUGUUGGGAAAGAAAAGCAGCAGGUUAAUACCCCGCUGUUCUGACGGUACCCAAAGAAUAAGCACCGGCUAACUUCGUG
rnacentral:rRNA from 1 species